GUACGGUUUCCUCAUUUAAUUGUUACGGGCUUCGCUAUUGUUUUGUGUUAUGUUCAUGGGCUGGCCCAUGACACUUGCAUCUUCUUCUCAGUCUGAAAUUUAGGGUUCACCAGCUUUAGGAAUCUUCCAUUCUGUAUGUUAACAAUUGCAGUUCUGAGAUUUUCGUAUACAUUUUGUCAAUAAUCUCAAAGUCCAUUUAUGUUCUGAUCGUUUUGUCUUACCUCCGAACCGUUACAAGUUGCAGAGAUUGGCAUAAUUAACACAAACUUAACUCUUCCUCGCCACUAGGACCACGAUCAAGAAUUCAAUGAAUCUUAUUCAGUUUCCAGUCUGUGAUUCUCUCCUAUAAAAAGAUGGAGGUGGAAGAUCUUAGCUGCCACUGGAAAAAAGCUAUGGCAAAGAUUAUUUUUCAGGAGAUGGAGUUGAGAUGAGGAUGAGAGUUCAGGCAGCGCUGAAACUGGAAAAAGCUAUUCCCUUUAGUCACGAGAUGGAAAUCAUUCAACUCAAGUUGCAUGAUCAAGCUAGAUACGACAUAUUGUUACAGUCACACGGCAGAUUAUUAAAUAUCCUGUCAAGGGAACUUUUGAUCCUUUAGUUGUUGGAUCAUACUACACGAAAUUGCGGCUGUGAUCUCCCCCAAGAGCCUUUUACGUACAGAUUGACACAUGAGGUGAUGUUUUGUGGGUUAGUUGUGCUUUUUGCAAUGGCUGCCCUCAAACCAGUAAACUCCUCAAGGAGCUCAGUAACAACGACACCAAUCUCAUGUUCUGACCAAAGAUGCAGCUGGGGUGUUCAGUCCUCUAAUUCAGGCUGUUCUACUCAGAACAACAUUUGCGCUUACACGUUUCAGUAUGGGGAUGGAAGUUGCACCUCAGGGUUCUUCGUCUCUGAUGUCUUACAGUUCGUUUGAGUACUAUGACUCUUGGCCAGACAUGUUGUCUCAUUUUUUAUUUAGUGCUCUGCUUUUCAGUGUUUUCUUCUUGCAUCGCUUGAACAGUGAUGAGCCCAAGGCCGAUGUCACCUUUUAGAAUAACAUGUAAGACCCAUGAAUACACUAGAAUUGAUUAAAAAAAUUUAAUGCAUGGAGAUAGUUCAUUUUA